CAAGGACACGUGACAUGUGACUUAACCUGUAAAAUAACACAGCAGCUCCCAUCCCCUGCUCCUCAGAGAGCUCAUGUUGGUCUACAGGAGCAAGGAUGUAGAGUCCCUUUCCCCUGUGUCUCCCUGAAUGACUCUCACUUGGCCAUAAUUUACAAUGAGAGGGUAUACAUGCUCAUGGAGGAUGCAUAUCUUUGCCUCUGUCUACCCUGACACUGGCCCUGUGGACUGGAAAGUCUUUGAGAAAAUUGUGAGAUCCUGGAAUUGUGUGAUUUCCUUCCAUGCACCCAGGCUCUGAAUCAGAGCCUAGACAGUGACCAUCACUGGCCAGGGAGAGUCUAGAGGACAUGUCAUGGCUGUCAUUUUUGUAUCUCUUUUGUUAGAUUCCUGAUAUCAUUUAUGGUCACAGGUCAUUUUGCUGAAAAGGAGGAACGUGGGAUCAAGUUCUGUGACUUCAGAGAAGAGUUGCGUGUACAAAACUUUGGGAGAGGAUCACCACAGAGAGGAAGACAAAUGAUCAGCCUGUGUCAAGCAUAUGAAGACCUACGAUUUCAGAUGCACUAGAAUCAUCCUGAAAAAUUCAUCUGACACACCCAGAUGGAUGACCAAAUGACCGUCAUCCAGGGAAAGUCUGGGAGGUCUCAUGCAGUAUGCAGGUAUUCUGAAGAGCCAUUAGCUUUUAGAAUGUUGCAGCAGCGUUUCUCUAGUUUUUCCUUUCUUCCUGGAUCUUCAUGAGAAUGGCCAACGACAUUCACCUCUGCCUACCCUCUGCCAGGAAAAUCCAAGACCAACUUCAAGACAGAUGUUUGCCCUUUUAGCUUUUAUUUUUAGAGGCUCAUUGUCUGGGAGUGACAUCUAUUUACUGGUUAUUCAUUUUGCUUUCUGCUUCAGGGAUGUUGAUAAAGAGUGUGGAUCUAAAUAAUUACUUCCCCUCAGCCAUCUCACAGAAGGUGUCCUGGUGCAUUUUAUAUCCUGAGGGCAAACGAAAGCUCUGUGUUCUGCUUGGCAAUUAUUUUCUAUGUCGAUGCUCCUUUUUCAGCAUAUGAAUGUGUCGAGAGGGUGACUGUUUAUUAUCUAGAGGUAGUGGUGGGGGCAGAUAUGAGGGCAGAUGUGGAGGGAGGUGGGAAAUUUCUAACUCUCCACUUCCAUCUGUAAUUUCUUUUAAACAGAUACUCUGAUUUUAUAUAAAGCAAAGCUCUUUGCAUAACCAAAUUGACUGCUUUUCUCAGAUAUUUUCCUGAAUAGAAUUUUUACUAAGAUGGGCUUAACUAAUGAUGGAAGGAAUGUAAUCCGUCUGGGAAAAACUUAAUCUUCAUGGAAAAUAAAAUCAGAUGCAUAGGGGCUUUGUAAAUUUCAUUUACUUCUGCUUCACUUCCUUUCCAUUCAAAAAGUAGUUGAUUGCAUGUGCAUGAGAGAGAAGCCAACCAGACACUUUUUUUGUUUGUUUUUUCACCGAAUGCAUCAUACACUGUUGGUGUCCACAAGUGACGGGAUAGGGAGCUCAUGGAAAAAAUGAGGCUGCCCCUUUCGGGAACUUUUCUGUUGACAAAGAUAGUUUUGUGAAUAAUAAUGUUGAUAAGGAAAGUAACAAUCAAUAUUUUUGAGUUCUUAUUAUGCACAAAGUUGUUGGGGGAAGCUCUUUAUUUGCAUUUGCUCAUUUAGUUGGCCCAACAAUCACACAAAGUAGCUACUAUUAUUAUCUCAUGCCUACCACAAAACUCCAAAUUUCAACUUUCAACAAUGAUUCUUCCCUAGGAGUUGCCCAUCUCAGUAAACGGUAAAACCAGUUACUAAUUUGCUCUGACCUCAAACUUAGAAAUGAGUCAUCUUUAGUUUAUCUCUUUCCCGUUGCCUGCCUGCCCCUCCCUCAAUUUGACAACAAAUUAUCCCAAAUUAUUGGCAGCAAGUUCCUUAAGUUGGCUUCUUUGAUGUGAUUCUUGCUUACCUCUCAGACCUCACCUUCCCAUCACUCUUUUCACUUCCCCAGCUACACUGGCUAUUCUGUUCCUUAAAUCUGUCAUGCUUGUUAGAAAUCCAUAUUUAAUAUAUCUCAAGUUCUUCCUUUUUGUUCAAAUAACUUUAGCUUAAGCACCAUCAUCUCCAGCUUGGAAUAUGGAAAUAAUCUCCUGAUUUGUCUCAUGCUUUUUUUCUGGUUCCUUUAUAAAGAUCCAGCAUAAGAAUGUGCCUUGAAUCAUGAAUCUAAUCACAUCACCUCACUACCUUAAGCCUACAAUGGCUUUGCUUUGCUCUUGGAAGAAACACAUACCUCCUAACUUAGCCUUUGUGAUCUGAUGGCUGCCUGCCCAUCAGAUCUGCCCCCAUCACUGUCCCCCUCACUCACUAUGUCCCAGCUUUACCAACCCCUUUUCUCUCUAUCUUGAACAUAUCCCUGUUUUUUCUGCCUCAGAGCUUUGUACUUAUUGCUUCUUAUCCUGGAAAAAUCUUCACCAGUGUUCACUUGAUUGGUUAUGUAUCGUGGUCAUAAUUUUACACUUUAAAGUGAAAAAUAAAUAGUAAUCAACAAGGA
rnacentral:lncRNA from 1 species